UUUUCCUACGGGGGGCAGCAGUGAGGAAUAUUGGUCAAUGGGCGGGAGCCUGAACCAGCCAAGUCGCGUGAGGGAAGACGGUCCUAUGGAUUGUAAACCUCUUUAGGCGGGGAGCAAUGCCGGGCACGCGUGCCCGGAGGGAGAGUACCCGCAGAAUAAGCAUCGGCUAACUCCGUGCCAGCAGCCGCGGUAAUACGGAGGAUGCGAGCGUUAUCCGGAUUUAUUGGGUUUAAAGGGUGCGCAGGCGGAUUUUUAAGUCAGCGGUCAAAUCGUGGGGCUCAACCCCAUCCAGCCGUUGAAACUGG
rnacentral:rRNA from 1 species